CGUUUCCCUGCACAGUAUAGCCUAUUCUCUGACUUCAGCGUGGAAACAGUGCGUGGCAUUAAGAACGGCUUCUCCGUGGGAGCAGCGUAAACGUGGACCAAGCGCUCGUGGUGAGAACAGAAGACACGUCCACACGAGUUGCCAUCACCGGCAGGCCGGACUUGGACAGUUGGGGCGGAGGAAGAGGCAAGAAAGAGGGAAGGGAGAUGAGGAGAGGAAGACCAAGGGGGUUAUAGGUGCUGUCCUUAAAGAUUCGCCUCUACGAUGCAAUCUGAUUCAGGAGCUGAAAGGAUAACAGAGAAGAGGGAAAAAAAAGGAGCUGAAUGGAGUGAGAAAGGAGUGGAAGCGUGGGUGGAGGCGGGCAUUUUGUGCUCCGGUCUCGACCACGGGUAUUCUUGGGUUGAUAAUACAGAUGUGGAUGUUAUUGCUUGAGAAUACGCGUAGUCGAGGGGAAGCUUUAUCAUCAACACUGGAUCUGAUGUGGAGAUCUGUUCUGUAGUGCUGCAGAGUCCAAACACAUAAGGGAAGGAACAAAUGGAAAUGUUUGGGCAAUCAGAUUUUUGAAUUACCUUACCUUGUAAGAGUACUCAUAAACCUUAGGGUUUUCUGCAUUUUGUCACAUUGUAGCCACAAACUUCAAUUAGGUUUAUUGGGAUUAUUAUUGGGAUCUCUUAUAAAAUCCCAAUAACUGUGUACUUUGUGCCCAAUUAUGCCCAAACUAGUGCACAAUUGUGAAGUGAAGGGAAACAUUUUAUAAAAAACAUUUUUAACAUUUUUACAAAUAAAAAUCCAAGAAGUUGGCCAGGAUUUUGCUCCGAUACCCCUAAAUAAACUUUGGUUCAUUCAUUCAAGAUCAGAGAAGCAGAAUCACUGUAACUCUGGAGGAGCAGCAGAGAUUCACAGCCCAGUCAGGAAAAUCUGUCGAUGAUGUGUCGAUAUGAUUUGUUGGCCAGAAGAACCAGAACAAGUCCGGUUCGCCUCAAGCCAUGUAGGGAACACAGCAGAAACGUGGUAGAAAGUGUUUUGUUUUGAUCAGAUGAGACUAAAACUUUCUGGCAUGCAAGAAAAAUCCCAUGUGUAGCUGAAAGCUAGCACAGCACAUCCUUCUGAGAAACACAAGCCAAAACUAGCCAAGAAGAUACAACGAGCUUUGUGGCUGUAAUGUGACAAAAUGUGACAAAAAGUUAAACGGAAGUGAUUACUUUUGCAAGGCAAAGUAAAAAGCAAUUGAGGCUUGCCAGGAGUCUCAAUUGAAUUGAGCCACUAACAAGGUGUUAUCAGCCGUGUCACUCUGUCCACCUGUGGAGCUGGUGUGUUCAGCAGCUCCUUCACAAGAAGCUUUGCACCAUGCUGCUCGGCUAAAACCCAGGCAGUUCUGGGAGCUUAUCUCAAAAGUCUUCACUACUGCACAUUAAAUCUUUUGAUUAUCUACUCUUGUCAUUCAUAAGCGAUGUCAUAGUCUCAUCAUUUCAUGGCUGUCUUUUGUUGUUUUUAUGUCUAUAUUCAUUCCAAACAAGAAGUCCUUAAAUUUCCAGAUACGGUGCCUGAGAAUUUUGCUCAGCAGCGAGCCCAUCCACACUACCCCCUGCGCUCCGAUUUUUUUCCAUUCUCCAGCUUAAAAAAAAAAAGUGCUAGUUUGAUGCCAGUAGCUGCAGCAACAGGAGACAGUAACACAUGAGGACAUGUAAAGCUUGCACCCGUGGCUGACAUUUCAGCAUUUUGACUCAGUUGACUGGCUGUCAUGAUGCAGAAUCAGACUCACACUGACACAAACACAGGAUCUACAUGCCAGCAGGGAAACAGCGGGGUUUGAUGGAGCUCAUGACAACAGGCACAUGGAUAGAUCCCGUCCAUUUGAGCACACAUGCGAUGCUGCGUGAAGGUUCACUGGGUCCGUACGCCUGGAGGGGGGGGGUGAGGGAUUGACUGCUUUUAUGGGUAACUAUUUUUGGUCACAGUGAUGGAUGUUUAUGUCUUUUAUUGAUCAGGUCCAGGGUGUGGUUUUGAAGAAUUCUUGGGACGUUUGGGCUUGCUGAUUAAUCAGGCGGCUGAGGUGGUGGAAUAAAACAUCCGGAAUAACAUUUUCGGAGCAUUAGCAUUAUUGCUAAAGUAUUAUAAAUUAGAAGAUCAGCAUCCGUUUGCAAAUUCAGCAAUUUGUUAGCAUCAGCCUGAAGAUAGAUUACACUCCCAUCAAAUACACUUGCAUGAUUUUUUUUCCAAUGUGUAAGCAAAUCUGUGACAGUAUGUAAUCAUAAUUAACGCAAAUUUCCCUCUGACGCUCCGUGAACUUGUUGAUUAGGGGAAAGCGCUUUCCGUGGCUAUGUGUGUGUUUAUGCAAGCGCGUGUAUGUUGCUUCCAAGCAACAAAAUGACUAUUGUGAGCACAGCUCCAGGUGCCUAGCAACCAAAAUCGCUCUGUUUCCCUGGCAACAGUUGCCCCGGACUCGCUGUGUGGGUUGAUUGGCAGCCUUGACAACAGGGAGACAGAGUGACACUUGACCUCGCGUGCUGAAUGGGAGAGGCAAAAAGAAGGAGCGAGAGACGGAGGAGGAGGGAGGGGGAGGGAGCAGGAGAAGCUGAGUGAUAAUCAUUCUCCAUUGUAAUCAUCCUCCAGCAUGUUUCAUAAGGCGCUGUCAAUACCUCUCCAGCUGGGGUCCAUCAUCGAACACAAUGCAUGCCGCAGAGCAUGCAUGCACGGACACACUCCUCCUGGGUGGAGAGCCCAGGCAAGCACUCAACAUCUCAUCUAUUAUCACUCAGGUCUGUCUGAUGCACAACCCCACUACACUGCCUUCUUUCAUUUCUGCUACGUUCUGCGCUCAGUGGGGAUGAAUGGGCUCCUGAAAACGUGCAACAGUCACAGAUGCCUCAGGACAGUAGAUUGGCAUUCAAAGACCGCCUUUAGCGUAUUGAAAUGUAACAUCAGCAUGUGGUUGUUGGAAGAUGUGUAUUUCUAUGUUUUCUAUUCUAGAUUGUGGAGCCAAAACAGCCUCCAUUGUACAGAUGUUGUUUUACUAAAAAAAUAUAUAUAUGAAAAAAUUUGUUUUUAUGUCUGAAGUGCAUGACAGAUUUAAACUGAAUGGUAUUAACAUGACCGAGUUCUGUCGUCUUUAUCAAGGUACAGUUCUGGUCAGAAAUUUACCCACAACCAUCGUCUUCGCUGAAUGUAUUAAAUUAGGAUUUUUAAUGA